AGAAUGAACGCUGGCGGCGCGCCUAAUACAUGCAAGCCGAGCGAGAAGACGUAGCAAUACGUUUGUAAAGCGGCGAACGGGUGAGGAAUACAUGGGUAACCUACCCUCGAGUGGGGAAUAACUAGCCGAAAGGUUAGCUAAUACCGCGUACGCUCCUUGGACUUCGGUUCAGGGAGGAAAGCGAUACCGUGGGUAUCGCGCUCUUGGUUGGGCUCAUGUCCUAUCAGCUUGUUGGUGAGGUGACGGCUCACCAAGGCUUCGACGGGUAGCUGGUCUGAGAGGACGAUCAGCCACACUGGCACUGCGACACGGGCCAGACUCCGUACGGGAGCAGCAAGUAAGGAUAUGCGCAAUGGGCGAAAGCCUGACGCAGCGACGCCGGCGGUGGGGAUGGAGGUCUUCGGAUUCGUAACCCGUUUCGGAGGAGAGUGGAACGAGACAAGUCCGUACGGACGUACCGUCCAGAACGCACGCACGCUACUCGCCGCA
rnacentral:rRNA from 1 species